GGCACCCGGGGAUGACUAGCAUGCGAGUCAUUGUAGUAAUACAAGGCAGACGGCUCAGUAACGCGUAGUCAACCUACCCUAUGGACGGGGAUAACCUCGGGAAACUGAGAAUAAUACCCGAUAGAACAUUAUGCCUGGAAUGGUUUAUGUUUCAAAUAAUUUAUUGCCGUAGGAUGGGACUGCGGCCUAUCAGUUUGUUGGUGAGGUAAUGGCCCACCAAGACUAUUACAGGUACGGGCUCUGAGAGGAGUAGCCCGGAGAUGGGUACUGAGACACGGACCCAGGCCCUAUGGGGCGCAGCAGGCGAGAAAACUUUGCAAUGUGCGAAAGCACGACAAGGUUAAUCCGAGUGGUUUCUGCUAAAGGAACCUUUUGUCAGUCCUAGAAACACUGAUGAAUAAGGGGUGGGCAAGUUCUGGUGUCAGCCGCCGCGGUAAAACCAGCACCUCAAGUGGUCAGGAUGAUUAUUGGGCCUAAAGCAUCCGUAGCCUGCUUUGUAAGUUUUCGGUUAAAUCCAUAUGCUCAACGUAUGGGCUGCCGGGAAUACUGCAAAGCUAGGGAGUGGGAGAGGUAGACGGUACUCGGUAGGAAGGGGUAAAAUCCUUUGAUCUAUUGAUGACCACCUGUGGCGAAGGCGGUCUACCAGAACACGUCCGACGGUGAGGGAUGAAAGCUGGGGGAGCAAACCGGAUUAGAUACCCGGGUAGUCCCAGCUGUAAACUAUGCAAACUCAGUGAUGCAUUGGCUUGAUGCCAAUGCAGUGCUGCAGGGAAGCCGUUAAGUUUGCCGCCUGGGGAAGUACGUACGCAAGUAUGAAACUUAAAGGAAUUGGCGGGGGAGCACCACAAGGGGUGAAGCCUGCGGUUCAAUUGGAGUCAACGCCGGG
rnacentral:rRNA from 1 species